rnacentral:rRNA from 1 species
UACGAAGGGGGGCUAGCGUUGCUCGGAAUUACUGGGCGUAAAGCGCACGUAGGCGGAUUGUUAAGUCGGGGGUGAAAUCCUGGAGCUCAACUCCAGAACUGCCUUCGAAACUGGCGAUCUUGAGUCCGGGAGAGGUGAGUGGAACUGCGAGUGUAGAGGUGAAAUUCGUAGAUAUUAGGAAGAACACCGGUGGCGAAGGCGGCCAUCUGGCUCGGUACUGACGCUCAGGCGCGAAAGCGUGGGGAGCAAACAGG